rnacentral:lncRNA from 1 species
AAAAAUAUUUUAUAUAUAUAUAUACAAAUAUAAUGAAUUGUAAAUAUAUUCCUACAAAGUUCAACUCUCUAUAUUGUUCCUGCAAAAAUUCUAAUUUUCAAAUAUGUCCCUCUGAUUUGUUACUGUUAUAGAAUUAUUUAUAUCUUAAAUAAAAUGUCGUUUUUGUCAUCACAAAUAUGUCCCUCUAAAAGGUACAAUAAUAUAAUAUAAAAAGGGCAAAAAUGCCAAGUUAUCUCAUAAACUAAUCAGGGUUAAGCAUUUAACCUAUGAUUAACUAAAGUUUUCUGGCGGAUUCUAAUGGCAAAAAAAAAUAUUUGAAAAUAUUAGGAACAAUAUAUAAAAGUUGAACUUUGUAGGGUAUAUUUGUAAUUUAUUAUAUUUGCAGGGAUAUAUAUGAAAUUAAUCCUAUAUA